GUAAGGGUCUUGCACAGUUUAUGUCAAUAGCUCACAGACUUUAUAUGUAUCUCUGUCACAGGAGGUUGGUGGCACCUUAAUUGGGAGGACCAGCCCGUGGUUAUGCCUGGAGGGGAAUCGGUGGAAUGGUAUCAAACAGAUGGUUUGAUGCCAUUCCAUUUGCUCCGUUCCAGCCAUUAUUAUGAACCGUUCUCCCCUCAGCAGCCUCCACUGAUCUGUGUUUUUUCAGACAAUCAACUGUUUCUUCAUCCUUUACUACCUGCUGGAGAUGGCGCUGAAGGUGGUAGCAUUUGUCUGGACAGGAUAUGUGUCCUAUGGGAGUAACGUAUUUGAUGGAUCUCUCACAGUUCUUUCACUGGGCCUACCGAUAUCCAUAUUUGCUACUUACCGUCUGCCAUUUUCCUAUUGCACUACCGCCGACCCCAGAAUUAUGACAAUGAUUGUAAACAAAACUCUACAAUGUGGUUCUUAUGAACAGCUUGGCUGCUGGUCAAACAACUUUUAUGACUUUGCAGUGAGUAUCACUCAACUAAAGUUUGUCGUGCCUGCUCCCGCUCUUCCCCCCUGGUGUUCGACGGCAACAAGCUCCCCAGCAUUGCGCAUUCCUG
rnacentral:lncRNA from 1 species